GCGCCCGUAGCUCAGUGGAUAGAGCACCAGCCUCCGGAGCUGGGGGUCGUUGGUUCGAUACCAACCGGGCGUA
rnacentral:tRNA from 1 species